GGAGAAUUCAAGUAAAGCAAUCCAGAGGAUUCCACAACAUAUUUCAACAUUACUUAAUUGAGUAUGCUGCAUGUGUCAGGAUCAUAAGAGAUAUUACUUAGCUCAGUGAUAUGCACAAUACGAAGAGGUUUGAGAAAGUUGAAAUAAGUCAGUAAGGAGGCAGGAGAGAAAAAUAGAUUCAUAAUGAACUAUUAAGAUUUAUAGUAGGAUUUCUAGCUAAAAGCCAUCAACAUGUCCUACGAAGGUAUCAUGUCAAAUGUUGUUGCUAAGUAUGUAGUGUUUCUCAUUGUUGCAAAGUAUGUAGUACUUCUCAUGUUUCACUUUAACAACGAGCAAUAUCAACUCUGCUAUUUUGUUUUAGCAUCCACUGUGUGACCUCUCUGAAAUUAUU
rnacentral:misc_RNA from 1 species